rnacentral:tRNA from 1 species
GCCGUUGUAGCUCAGUGGUAGAGCACUUCCUUGGUAAGGAAGAGGUCAUGAGUUCAAUCCUCAUCAACGGCU